rnacentral:rRNA from 1 species
AAACAUAGACUGAAAUUAACACAUUCUAUCCGCCCGGCAACUACGGACACUAGUCUGAAAGCCAAAGGACCUGGCGGUGCUUCACAUCCAUCUAGAGGAGCCUGUCCUAUAACCGAUAAUCCCCGUUAAACCUCACCCCCCCUUGCUCCUGUCCCGCCUAUAUACCGCCGUCGUCAGCUUACACUGAGAAGGGAUAAAAGUAAGCAAAACUAGCAAAGCCCAGAACGUCAGGUCGAGGUGCAGCUCAUGGGAGGGGCAAGAGAUGGGCUACAUUUGCUCGCUUAGAGCAAAUACAGAUACCUCGUUGAAACACGAGAUUGAAGGAGGAUUUAGUAGUAAGCAGGGAACAGAGCGCCCU